rnacentral:lncRNA from 1 species
AAAUUAUAAAUUAUGUAUGUCUUUUUCUUAAUUAAUCCUUUAAGAUAUUAGGUUCCCUAAAGUCCAGAAAUGACAUAAUUUGGCUUAUUUAGUAUAAAAAUUAUCAGGAAGCAUUGUCAAAUAUGAAAUGCUGUUUGGUUUUUUGGGGCUGUAUUUGUAUAAAUAUUGGUGUGUGUUCCAAAAUUAUGGGAAACACCUGUAAUUCUGAUAUGACUUAGCAUCAGUAAUUAUCAUAAUUGUUAUGUUAAAAUUAUUGUGUGACACAGAGGUAACAAGUUUCCUCAUCAAUUAUGUCUUUGUCUAUGUCUGGCCUAAAAUGUUUUGCUAUCCAUGGACAAUUGUUGUCUUGUUUUGGUCUUCUUUAGAAGGUGGUUUUAUAAUCAGCUACAAAACUCUAACGGGUGCUCAUGAACGCAGGUUUCUGAUAACUUUGGAGAUUGUGACAUCAGAAUAGAGGAAAAAUUUUCAGGACUCAUGGACAGCUAAAAUGUUCAUGAGUAUCAAGCAGAACAGGAAUUAACUGUAUGGACUGAACCAAUCUUUUUGACUUUUUGCCUAAAAUGUGGCUAAUCCUUUUUUUUAUUUUUCAGAGUCUUGAAACCUCUCUUUUGAGCUAUUGACAGUUUUUAGCAAUUUAUUAUACUCCUAUUAAAUUUGGGGCAUAUUUGUUUCUCUCUACCUGAUUUAUCCAGAUCUGGAAACUAUUUGAUUCAAACUUGACAUAUGAAGCCAAUAAAGCCCUUGGAAAAACUGGCCUCAUAUUUUGUGUAUCCAGUCCUGCACAGGGUCUCUGACCUGUGGUAAGUAAAGAACGUCACGUUCCAACAGGCCUAGAAAUACUAGGUUUAUCUUGGGACCUCAAAAGGGGAGGAAACUCACCCAACUCAUAGGUAUUUGAUGGUACAAAUUCAUGACUGGAAUCAGCAUUUAAAAAAUCUUAUCUGACAUUCCUUCUAUGGAAUAAAGUUUCAUCAAAGCCAAUUUUUAAAAUGCCUAUGUGAAAAAUAAUUAUUCUUUCUGCACUUUAUAUAAAUAAUCUGGCCAAGUAUAAUAAAGAAAAUUGGUCCUACCAUGAUUUGUUCUUAGUAAAAAUAGAAAACUGGAGAGAACAAAACUAUGUUUCAAAAACUAUAGGACGCCUGUUGUUAGAUUCUAGUCUUGCCUAAUCUUUUUCAAUUCUUCUUAUUUUCUACAGUUUGGACUGAAUUCUAAUUUUUCUUGGGUACAAUUCUUCAAAAUAAUGUUUUCAAUUUUUUUCCUCUCUUUUUUUGCAUUUUUUAAAAUUUGGAGUCACUGAAAACUAAGCUGUGGUUUGUUAAAGCCCUGCAAACUGAAUCCAGACAACUUAAACUUCAGAAGAAAGUAACAGCAAUCGAUUUACAUAUAUAAGCCACUUUCAUACCUGCCUAGUGAUGUAUAGACUUCAGAGUAAUGUGGCCUAUAUCAUUUUCCAGGAUUGUUCUUUUAUUUGUUGUUGUUUUUCUCCCUUCCUCCCACUAUUUUCUCUUCAUAGGACAUGAGACUUCAUAACUUUCUAAAAAUGAACUUUCCUGAUAACUCUAGACCUAUCUGUACAGCAAUAAACCAUCCUAGCCAUGAGAGAUAAGAUGAGACCUGGGACCAGAGACUCAUUUUCUUCUAAAAUCCUUUCUCAAAAAGAUUUUUUAAAAGAAAAGAGGGGGAAAUGUAAAAGGAAAAUAUCUUGGGCCCUCAAAAUUACUAAGCUAAAGGGAAAAACUCAAGCUGGGAAAUACUUAGGGAAAAUCUGCCUCCCAUUCUAUUCAAAGUUAUUGUUCUGCUCACUCAGAUAAAUGCAUAUCUGAUUGCCUCCAUUGGAAAGGCCAAUCAGAAACUCAAAAGAAUGCAACCAUUUGUCUUUUAGCUAUCUAUGACCUGGAAGCCCCCUCCCCGCUUCGAGUGUUUCUGUGUUUGCUUCAAGUUUUCUUACCUUUCCAGACUAAACCAAUGUACUUCUUACAUAUAUUGAUUGAUGACUCAUGUCUUCCUAAAAUGUACAAAACCAAGCUGUGCCCCAACCACCAUGAACACAUGUCAGGAUUUCCUGAGGCUGUGUCAUGGGUGUGUGUCCUUAACCUUGGCAAAAUAAAAUAUCUAAAUUAACUGAGACCUGUCUCAGAUUCUCCGAGUCCACAAAAGACACCCAUUUAGAGUAGGUGAGGGUAACAUAUACUAUUUGAAGCAUGUUAGAUGAAUGUAUGGGUUUGUGCUCAGAAGCCAAAAAUGAAAUACAUAAACUUGAAAGUUGUCAGUGGAGGGAUGACUAUGGGUGCAGCUAUUAGAUUGCCUAGGAAAAGAAAGCAUGGAGUGAUAAAUGAAGAGGAGCUGGGGCAGAGCCUAAGGACAUUGUUUAAAGUUCAGAAAGUCAGGAAAAAGAAGAUUAAAUUGCAAAUGAAAUGAAGAAAGAGAGGCUGGCAGUGUGGGAAAUCAGAGUAUGUAAAUUUAAGCCAGAUUGAACAUAGGAAAUGUAAGGUCUUUGAAUGAUUACUUUAUUCUCCAAAUCAGGUAGAAUUUGAGGAGCAUUAAGGACAAAGUGGAAAGUAUAUCCUCCACUGGAAUAGAAUUGCCAGUUUUGUUCCCUUCCAAUAUAAGGCAGCCCAGAGAAGAGGUUCGUCAUGACUGAACUUGUUUGUCCUGCAUUGUAUUACACCGAGAAGAAUGCCCUGACUAGACAGGAGAAUGUCUGUGUUGUGUCUUAAGAUUAGUUUGCACCUUUUAAGUAGCACCACACUUGCUCUGUUAUUAUUUUUCACUUCAAUAGAUUUCUACUUGACUUAAUAAAAACAAGAGAAAAUAGGGCCUUAUUUGGCUAUAACCUUUUUUCUGGAAAUGUUUUAACUAUUCUGUGGUCUCCAUGCUACAAGAAAACCAAAUAUAUAAAAACUCAUAUAUAGAAAUAUGCUUAUAAAUAAAUAUAUGCCAGUUCUGCAAAGAACUUAAAAUAUACCGGGCCAUAGUUAGCUAUUUUUAUCAGCCUCCUCAUUAGACUGUGUUAUACAGACAUCAUCACCAACAGCGUCAUCCUUAUCAUAGCUUACAUGACUUGAGUGUUUACUAUGUUCCAAUGUUCCAG